rnacentral:rRNA from 1 species
GACGAACGCUGGCGGCGUGCUUAACACAUGCAAGUCGAGCGAGCCUUCGGGCUAGCGGCGAACGGGUGAGUAACACGUGGGCAAUCUGCCCCUAGCUCUGGGAUAACUCCGGGAAACCGGGGCUAAUACCAGAUACGACCUCGAGAGGCAUCCCCCUUGGUGGAAAGAUUUAUCGGCUAGGGAUGAGCCCGCGGCCUAUCAGCUUGUUGGUGGGGUAACGGCCUACCAAGGCGACGACGGGUAGCCGGCCUGAGAGGGCGACCGGCCACACUGGGACUGAGACACGGCCCAGACUCCUACGGGAGGCAGCAGUGGGGAAUAUUGCACAAUGGGCGAAAGCCUGAUGCAGCGACGCCGCGUGAGGGAUGACGGCCUUCGGGUUGUAAACCUCUUUCAGCAGGGACGAAGCGAAAGUGACGGUACCUGCAGAAGAAGCACCGGCCAACUACGUGCCAGCAGCCGCCGUAAUAC